GAUCGAACUUUACGAUACAUCGUGAAACACAAAAUUAAAGGCAAAUCGUAUGAAACAGGGUGGACAUUACAGGCAGUAAAGGAACAUUCAGCUUGCAAUCGCGAGCGAUAUGUUUUAUAGUUAUCUGUAUUAGGGAAUUACUGUGAGAAAUAUGACAACUGACGUUGCUCGUAAAAAUGGCAAUCAACUUUUCGCAAGAACAAAAAAACCACGUAACUUCUGGGCUUUAUUUCAAGCAGCAUCGAAUAAGAUACUACUAACAAUUUUUCCCUGAAAUUAAGUUGGAAAAUCAGAGAUCAGUCUUGAAAAGAACAGGAUGAUGCUACGGAGAACAUUUCGACUUGUGAAGAAUGAAGUAACAGGAUCCUGGAGAAAGCUGCAAGAUGAGCAGCUUCUUACUCUUCACAUCUUAUCAGAAUAUGAAAUCCAGGAUCAGAUGGGCGGGGCACACAGGACCUACGGCGCUGAGGAGAAAUAGCUACAUUUUUCUGUUUGGAAAGCCCGAAAAGGCGAGAGAUUGAGAUUAUGGGUGGCAACUAUCAACAGUAGUAAAUAAGAUUUACAUUCAACGAAUGUAACUUAGUUAUGUUCCACACGAAUUUUAUUCAAAUCCACUCAGCCCUUCAUUUUUAUAGAUAUUCUUUAAAAAAGUAAUAUUAGAAAGUGUGUGUGUGUGUGUGUGUGUAUAUACACUUGUUUCUAAAUCAGAGGGUUAAAAGUAAUGUGACAAUAGUAAGUCACAGCUAUUUAUGUGGUGGAAUAUUUACAAAAAGGCUAAGAAAACAAGUCUACUGAUUUUAGUGUUUAUUUGUAAGGUAGAUAUUUGUUCAUGAAGGAUGUAUGACAUCUGCUACUGAAACUAAAGCCAGUACGUGGUUCUGGAAAGUGUCGACAGGACUAAAAGUUUUGAUAUUUAGUAAAUACAGAAGUUUUUUCAUUCUAUUUUAUUUCCACUUACACAAUAGUAAAAACAUACAAUGGAGGUAGAUGACAUGUAAUGUAAAUAAAUGUUGAACGAACACCAGCAAUACAGCAAACAACUGCAUGUCGCAUUAGAUGUUGGCAACUGAUAUCUACUCAUGAGUAGACAUUGAUUUUAUGAAGCAAAGAAAGAAAAUACAGCAACUUGACUAUGACCUGACAUAAUGAAAUAAGCAGUAUACUCAAAGAAUCUAAAAAAAAAGGUGAAAGAAUUCGGAAGAGGAUAUUGCAUGCUUCAGAUAAAAUUUUGUAUAUAACAACACGAUUUAAAAUUAAUUUUAGAGGAAUCUGUUGAUAAACUUGAUCUAUGACGAAAACAGUAUAAGGUGGUCUUCUGAGUUUUGACGCCAUGUACCUACUUGCGAGUCCACAUGGCGUCAGGACCCACAAGACCGCCACACAGAGAUCUUCACCAAUGGCAACAUCAAGUCAAAGUAUAAUGAAUAGGAAUAUCCCAAACAUUUCACACAGGUCACAAGGCCUUAUAAAGAACUGCGUGAAACCGAUUAAUAUAUGAUUCCAUUUGUAUGUAACAACGUAGGAUACGGACAUGCACAUUAACAAAAAUUAUCCAAGCUUAGAAAGAAUAAAAAAAAAAAAAAAAUUAGAUAAAUUACUUUCCUCUGAUAUGAAGCUAUUGUUUUAAUAUAUCAGCUAAAGAAAAAAUGUUGUCUUUAAAGAGGGAAGGGAGAUCUGAUAGAGAAGUUAAAAUAAUAAAUAAAAUUACAGAAAAGUAA